rnacentral:rRNA from 1 species
GAUGAACGCUGGCGGCGUGCCUAAUACAUGCAAGUCGAGCGAACGGACGAGAAGCUUGCUUCUCUGAUGUUAGCGGCGGACGGGUGAGUAACACGUGGAUAACCUACCUAUAAGACUGGGAUAACUUCGGGAAACCGGAGCUAAUACCGGAUAAUAUUUUGAACCGCAUGGUUCAAAAGUGAAAGACGGUCUUGCUGUCACUUAUAGAUGGAUCCGCGCUGCAUUAGCUAGUUGGUAAGGUAACGGCUUACCAAGGCAACGAUGCAUAGCCGACCUGAGAGGGUGAUCGGCCACACUGGAACUGAGACAAGGUCCAGACUCCUACGGGAGGCAGCAGUAGGGAAUCUUCCGCAAUGAGCGAAAGCCUGACGGAGCAACGCCGCGUGAGUGAUGAAGGUCUUCGGAUCGUAAAACUCUGUUAUUAGGGAAGAACAUAUGUGUAAGUAACUGUGCACAUCUUGACGGUACCUAAUCAGAAAGCCACGGCUAACUACGUG